rnacentral:rRNA from 1 species
GAUGAACGCUCGCUACAGGCUUAACACAUGCAAGUCGAGGGGAAACGACAUCGAAAGCUUGCUUUUGAUGGGCGUCGACCGGCGCACGGGUGAGUAACGCGUAUCCAACCUGCCCACCACUUGGGGAUAACCUUGCGAAAGUAAGACUAAUACCCAAUGAUAUCUCUAGAAGACAUCUGAAAGAGAUUAAAGAUUUAUCGGUGAUGGAUGGGGAUGCGUCUGAUUAGCUUGUUGGCGGGGUAACGGCCCACCAAGGCAACGAUCAGUAGGGGUUCUGAGAGGAAGGUCCCCCACAUUGGAACUGAGACACGGUCCAAACUCCUACGGGAGGCAGCAGUAGGGAAUCUUCCGCAAUGGGCGAAAGCCUGACGGAGCAACGCCGCGUGAGUGAUGAAGGUCUUCGGAUCGUAAAACUCUGUUAUUAGGGAAGAACAUAUGUGUAAGUAACUGUGCACAUCUUGACGGUACCUAAUCAGAAAGCCACGGCUAACUACGUG